UCACGCAUCGCGUCUCCCCCACAUCCACCCCGAGUGGAGGGGAAGGAGGAUGGUCUCCCGCGGCUCACCGGUCGCGGCUGGCCUAAAAUCGGAGCCCUCGGCAUCGGGAUGCCGCGGCGAUAGGUGGUGAACAAGGCCUCGGCCAAGCAAGCAACCAGUCGCGCGUCGCGGUGCCAACGUGGGCUCGAAGGACCCUUGACGUUGCCUAACGGCAACAAAACCGUUGCGAC
rnacentral:rRNA from 1 species